GGGCUCGUAGCUCAGUUGGUUAGAGCGUCUCGUUUACACCGAGAAGGUCUUCAGUUCGAGUCUGAACGAGCCCA
rnacentral:tRNA from 1 species